AGAGUUUGAUCCUGGCUCAGGAUGAACGCUAGCUACAGGCUUAACACAUGCAAGUCGAGGGGCAGCAUGGUCUUAGCUUGCUAAGGCCGAUGGCGACCGGCGCACGGGUGAGUAACACGUAUCCAACCUGCCGUCUACUCUUGGACAGCCUUCUGAAAGGAAGAUUAAUACAAGAUGGCAUCAUGAGUCCGCAUGUUCACAUGAUUAAAGGUAUUCCGGUAGACGAUGGGGAUGCGUUCCAUUAGAUAGUAGGCGGGGUAACGGCCCACCUAGUCUUCGAUGGAUAGGGGUUCUGAGAGGAAGGUCCCCCACAUUGGAACUGAGACACGGUCCAAACUCCUACGGGAGGCAGCAGUGAGGAAUAUUGGUCAAUGGGCGAGAGCCUGAACCAGCCAAGUAGCGUGAAGGAUGACUGCCCUAUGGGUUGUAAACUUCUUUUAUAAAGGAAUAAAGUCGGGUAUGCAUACCCGUUUGCAUGUACUUUAUGAAUAAGGAUCGGCUAACUCCGUGCCAGCAGCCGCGGUAAUACGGAGGAUCCGAGCGUUAUCCGGAUUUAUUGGGUUUAAAGGGAGCGUAGAUGGAUGUUUAAGUCAGUUGUGAAAGUUUGCGGCUCAACCGUAAAAUUGCAGUUGAUACUGGAUAUCUUGAGUGCAGUAGAGGCAGGCGGAAUUCCCCGUGUAGCGGUGAAAUGCGUAGAGAUGGGGAGGAACACCAGUGGCGAAGGCGGCCUGCUGGGCUUUAACUGACGCUGAGGCACGAAAGCGUGGGUAGCAAACAGAAUUAGAUACCCUGGUAGUCCACACUGUAAACGAUGAUAACUAGGUGUGGGGGGUCUGACCCCUUCCGUGCCGCAGCUAACGCAAUAAGUUAUCCACCUGGGGAGUACGACCGCAAGGUUGAAACUCAAAGGAAUUGACGGGGACCCGCACAAGCAGUGGAUUAUGUGGUUUAAUUCGAAGCAACGCGAAGAACCUUACCAGCACUUGACAUCCGACUAACGAAGUAGAGAUACAUUAGGUGCCCUUCGGGGAAAGUCGAGACAGGUGGUGCAUGGUUGUCGUCAGCUCGUGUCGUGAGAUGUUGGGUUAAGUCCCGCAACGAGCGCAACCCCUGCCAUUAGUUGCUACGCAAGAGCACUCUAAUGGGACCGCUACCGACAAGGUGGAGGAAGGUGGGGACGACGUCAAAUCAUCAUGCCCCUUAUGUGCUGGGCUACACACGUAAUACAAUGGUCGGCAACAAAGGGCAGCGAAACCGCGAGGUGGAGCAAAUCCCAGAAACCCGACCCCAGUUCGGAUCGUAGGCUGCAACCCGCCUACGUGAAGUUGGAAUCGCUAGUAAUCGCAGGUCAGCAUACUGCGGUGAAUACGUUCCCGGGCCUUGUACUCACCGCCCGUCAAG
rnacentral:rRNA from 1 species